rnacentral:lncRNA from 1 species
CGACUGCAGUAAUGCCUAGCAUCAGAAUGCAUGUGUGUGUGUGUGUGUGUGUGUGAACUUGCGUCCUUCUCUCUACAUCCACAGGGGGCCACUUCAUUGUCAAAGGUCAGGAGAAGGUCAUUCUGGUCCAGGAGCAGCUGUCAAAGAACCACAUCAUCGUGGGGCAGGACAGGAAGGGAGCAGUGGGAGCCUCACUCAUAUCUAGAAUGACUCGACCAGAAUGCUCUGAAAUCCAUUGGGAAUAAAGUGCGGUGACAGCGCGUGUGAGGAGGGCCCAAGAAGACCAAGAUGGAGGACGCUAGAGAGCUUCCCUCAUCCUCCCUCAUGUACCUAACUGAUCCCAGGCCGCUGGUAGUUGAGACAGACUCUACACCUGCCUCCCCAUGCCCUGAUCCCAGGCCUGCGCUAGUGGAUGCAGACUUUACACCAGCCUCCCCAUGCCCUGAUCCCAGGCCUGCGCUAGUGGAUACAGACUCUACACCA